GAUGAACGCUAGCGGCAGGCUUAAUACAUGCAAGUCGAGGGGCAGCAGUCCCGCAGCAAUGCGGGAGCUGGCGACCGGCAAACGGGUGCGGAACACGUACAGAACCUUCCUUCGAGCGGGGAAUAGCCCAGAGAAAUUUGGAUUAAUACCCCAUAGCAUUACGAAGUGGCAUCACUUUGUAAUUAAAGAUUUAUCACUCGAAGAUGGCUGUGCGGCUGAUAGGUAGUUGGCGGAGUAACGGCCCACCAAGCCUUCGAUCAGUAACUGGUGUGAGAGCACGACCAGUCACACGGGCACUGAGACACGGGCCCGACUCCUACGGGAGGCAGCAGUAAGGAAUAUUGGUCAAUGGACGAAAGUCUGAACCAGCCAUGCCGCGUGGAGGAUGAAGGUCCUCUGGGUUGUAAACUUCUUUUAUAUGGGACGAAAAAGGCUUUUCUAAGUCGUCUGACGGUACCAUAUGAAUAAGCACCGGCUAACUCCGUGCCAGCCGCCGCCGUAA
rnacentral:rRNA from 1 species